UACGGAGGGGGCUAGCGUUGUUCGGAAUUACUGGGCGUAAAGCGCACGUAGGCGGCUUUGUAAGUUAGAGGUGAAAGCCCGGGGCUCAACUCCGGAAUUGCCUUUAAGACUGCAUCGCUCGAAUUGUGGAGAGGUAAGUGGAAUUCCGAGUGUAGAGGUGAAAUUCGUAGAUAUUCGGAAGAACACCAGUGGCGAAGGCGACUUACUGGACACAUAUUGACGCUGAGGUGCGAAAGCGUGGGGAUCAAACAGG
rnacentral:rRNA from 1 species